rnacentral:misc_RNA from 1 species
AUUUACUUAAGUUAAUUCGAGCGCGCCGGUCACACGUUCGAUCGGUACUCGUUACGGUAAUCUCGACAACCGCGAUCGUUCUUCAUUGGCACCGGUGAUGACACUGAUUCGCCGUAAUAACAGAGCCUAAUUCUGACCGGUCGAUCAGCUCAAUUGUCAAACUACGUACGCGACACAAAUCGGCUGGAUACGAGAUAAACGGUUCGUGGCGGAGAAUGAAGAAAUCUUACGAUGUUGCAAGGCUAUUUGCGAGGGGCGUCGUUAUUAGUUUAACCCUCUAUCGAUCAGCCAUCGUAUAACGAGCGCGACCAUGCGUAGCAGCAUUCAUAAUCGGAUACCAUGCGUGCCGGCGAAUCGGUGAAUCGCAUUCUUUCGUUGUGUUGCCAUUGGAAUUUAAACACGCAUGGAGCCAAACAAAAGGAAAGAGCGCAAUUAAAACGGGAUUUAGGAUUCCUACGAUUGUAUACGUUGAUCUCAAACAGGAUGAAAUAAAGUGGAGAAACGUCAAGACAGAGGUUUCAUUUUAUUUUAGAUUUCGUAUGAUGGGUACAUUGCAUGCUUGGAUUUUACUGUUAAGAGAUAAUCGCCUUAGUCGCGCUUCACUUUUUAAGCGAAUCGAGGCAUCGCUGACAAAGAAGAGGCAGGGGAAGAGACGAGAUAGAGAAGUUAAAACGUGACCAGGCAUUAGAGGUUGCCUGUCAUGAAAAUGAUUCAUCGGAAGUCGGAGCACGACCGAUCGAUCCUGCAAGAUAUUAACGACAUUCGCGCGCCCCGAAUUCUCAAAUAUUGACCAGGAUAUACCAGGACAUAGAAACCACCUGCACUAUCAUGCUCUCCCAUGCCAGUACUUUUUUCCCUCUUUAUUCCUACUCUAUCCAAAGCGCCAGGUGUUUUUCAAUCAUGCUCGUGUAUUAUGUAUUCCAUGUACCAGCGUUUUGAAGGAUAGAGGUUGAAUAUCGCAGAAAUUGUCUUAUCAAGGGAGAACGCUCUAGAACCCAUCUAAAACGGCAUAAAUCAAAACCAUGACCUAGACGUGUAGGGCCUGUCGCCUAGACCGUCUACUCUACCGCUUGCUGGAUGAACGAUGGAAAGGAAAGAAUAAAAGCGACGAAGGGCUCCUAAAAUAAUAUCGUAAACCACGAACGACGGCACGUCUUGUCUACGCACGUACGCACGCUUAUGCGUGCUCGUACAUAUAUUAUGAACACGUUAUAGGACGUGGAAGUCUAUUUCGAACCGAAAGACAUUCUGUAUCCAGCCGCUCGCAACACGCUAGCUUUGAUACAGCCACGAUAUAUAUGAGAGAACUGCAUCCCCUUCAAACUUACCAGCGAUCCUCAACCGUGUAAACAACUGGG